UCUUCAUUCUCUUCUCUCUUCUUCUUCUUCGUCAUCCACCAUUUAAGCUUACCAUUAAAUCUGCAAAGACAUAUCUCGGAUCCACAUAUCUCCUCUCUUCUUCUUCUUCUUCUUCUUCGCCAUCCACCAUUAAAGCUCUUUAAGAUUUGGGACAACUGAAACCAUUGCGUACAACUAAGUAGAAUAUUUACGGAACCCUAAAUUUGGUGCAACCGAGACAAAUGGAUAUAACUAUGUUGAUGGACUGUGGUGGUGGUGUCCUUGCUAUGUACGUAGGUGAACCAUCACAACAAUAUCCGGUGGUGGUGGAGAUUGAAGAAAGAGAUGUAGAAAAAAAUGCGUGUAGACCUAUUUUAUGGGGCGAUGAGCUUGAUAUUACAGUAGGCCAAGAAUUUUGAAGCAAAGAAGCAAUACAAUGUUUAGUUGAAAAGGCUUGACAUAAAAAUGUCUUUGAGUUUGUUGUAAAUAAAUCGGAACCGUUGAGAUUUGUGGUGGCAUGUUCAGAAGCACAUAAUGGGUCCGAUUGAUAUCUACGAUUUGCAAGGCGUGAAACGUCUAAGCCUUUUUCUAUACGAACUCAUAGAAGGUUAAUUUAUUUGUCGUAUCUGUACAAAUUAAUUUGUUUUGUCUUGGUACAACCAAGUACAACCCGUACAACUAAGUUCUAUUGCCUUGGCUAGUUUUUAGAAU